rnacentral:rRNA from 1 species
GACGAACGCUGGCGGCGUGCUUAACACAUGCAAGUGGAGCGACGAACCAGGCUUCGGCCUGGGGCAAAGCCGCGAACGGGUGAGUAACACGUGGGUAACCUGCCCCGAAGAUCGGGACAACCCGGGGAAACCCGGGCUAAUACCGAAUGUGCUCCCGCCACAUCAGUGGCAGGUGCAAAGGAAGCUUCGGCCUCCGCUUCGGGAGGGGCCCGCGGCCCAUUAGCUUGUUGGUGAGGUAACGGCUCACCAAGGCUCCGAUGGGUAGCUGGUCUGAGAGGACGAUCAGCCACACUGGGACUGAGACACGGCCCAGACUCCUACGGGAGGCAGCAGUGGGGAAUCUUGCGCAAUGCGCGAAAGCGUGACGCAGCAACGCCGCGU